GACGAACGCUGGCGGCGUGCUUAACACAUGCAAGUCGAGCGGUAAGGCCCUUUCGGGGGUACACGAGCGGCGAACGGGUGAGUAACACGUGGGUGACCUGCCCUCAGCUCUGGGAUAAGCCUGGGAAACCGGGUCUAAUACUGGAUAUGACUCCAUGACGCAUGUUGUGGGGUGGAAAGCCUUGUGCGGCUGAGGACGGGCCCGCGGCCUAUCAGCUUGUUGGUGGGGUGAUGGCCUACCAAGGCGACGACGGGUAGCCGGCCUGAGAGGGCGACCGGCCACACUGGGACUGAGACACGGCCCAGACUCCUACGGGAGGCAGCAGUGGGGAAUCUUGCGCAAUGGGCGAAAGCCUGACGCAGCGACGCCGCGUGAGGGAUGACGGCCU
rnacentral:rRNA from 1 species